AUUGAACGCUGGCGGCAGGCCUAACACAUGCAAGUCGAGCGGAUGAAGGGAGCUUGCUCCUGGAUUCAGCGGCGGACGGGUGUGUAAUGCCCAGGAAUCUGCCUGGUAGUGGGGGAUAACGUCCGGAAACGGGCGCUAAUACUGCAUACGUCCUGAGGGUGAAAGAGGGGGAUCUUCGGACCUCACGCUAUCAGAUGAGCCUAGGGCGGAUUAGCUAGUUGGUGGGGUAAAGGCCUACCAAGGCGACGAUCCGUAACUGGUCUGAGAGGAUGAUCAGUCACACUGGGACUGAGACACGGUCCAGACGCCUACGGGAAGCAGCAGUGGGGAAUAUUGGAGAAUGGGCGGAAGCCUGAUCCAGACAUGCCGCGUGUGUGAAGAAGGUCUUCGGAUGGGAAAGCACUGUAAGUUGGGAGGAAGGGCAGUAAGUUAAUACCGUGCUGUUUUGACGUGACCAACAGAAUGAGCACCGGCUAACUUCGUG
rnacentral:rRNA from 1 species